AUUGAACGCUGGCGGCAGGCCUAACACAUGCAAGUCGAGCGAGCGGCGGACGGGUGAGUAAUGUCUGGGCAACUGCCUGAUGGAGGGGGAUAACUACUGGAAACGGUAGCUAAUACCGCAUACCAUCAGAUGUGCCCAUAUGGGAUUAGCUAGUAGGUGGGGUAAUGGCGCACCUAGGCGACGAUCCCUAGCUGGUCUGAGAGGAUGAUCAGCCACACUGGGACUGAGACACGGUCCAGACUCCUACGGGAGGCAGCAGUGGGGAAUAUUGGACAAUGGGCGCAAGCCUGAUGCAGCCAUGCCGCGUGUGUGAAGAAGGCCUUCGGGUUGUAAAGUACUUUCGGUAGGGAGGCGUUAACUACAGAAGAAGCACCGGCUAACUACGUGCCAGCAGCCGCGGUAAUAC
rnacentral:rRNA from 1 species